rnacentral:rRNA from 1 species
AUUGAACGCUGGCGGAAUGCUUUACACAUGCAAGUCGAACGGCAGCAUAGGUGCUUGCACCUGAUGGCGAGUGGCGAACGGGUGAGUAAUACAUCGGAACGUGCCCAGUCGUGGGGGAUAACGUAGCGAAAGUUACGCUAAUACCGCAUACGAUCUAAGGAUGAAAGCGGGGGACCGUAAGGCCUCGCGUGAUUGGAUCGGCCGGUGUCAGAUUAGGUAGUUGGUGAGGUAAAGGCUCACCAAGCCGACGAUCUGUAGCUGGUCUGAGAGGACGACCAGCCACACUGGGACUGAGACACGGCCCAGACUCCUACGGGAGGCAGCAGUGGGGAAUUUUGGACAAUGGACGCAAGUCUGAUCCAGCCAUUCCGCGUGCAGGACGAAGGCCUUCGGGUUGUAAACUGCUUUUGUACGGAACGAAAAAGCUCUUACUAAUACUAGGAGUCCAUGACGGUACCGUAAGAAUAAGCACCGGCUAACUACGUGCCAGCCGCCGCUGUAA